GCUCAGUAACACGUGGAUAACCUGCCCUAAGGAAGGGGAUAACCUCGGGAAACUGAGGAUAAUACCCUAUAGGAUACCGAUGCUGGAAUGCCCGGUAUCCCAAAGCUCCGGCGCCUUAGGAUGGAUCUGCGGCCGAUUAGGUCGUUGUUGGGGUAACGGCCCAACAAGCCGAUAAUCGGUACGGGUUGUGGGAGCAAGAGCCCGGAGUUGGAUUCUGAGACACGAAUCCAGGCCCUACGGGGCGCAGCAGGCGCGAAAACUUUACAAUGCGGGCAACCGUGAUAAGGGAACCUCGAGUGCCUGUACAUGCAGGCUGUCUGGGUGUCUAAAACACACCCAAAGAAAGGGCCGGGCAAGACCGGUGCCAGCCGCCGCGGUAAUACCGGCGGCUCGAGUGGUGGCCACUUUUAUUGGGCUUAAAGCGUUCGUAGCUGGGUUGUUAAGUCUCUUGGGAAAUCUGGCAGCUUAACUGUCAGGCGUCUAAGAGAUACUGGCAAUCUAGGAACCGGGAGAGGUGAGGGGUACUUCGGGGGUAGGAGUGAAAUCCUGUAAUCCUCGAGGGACCACCUGUGGCGAAGGCGCCUCACCAGAACGGCUUCGACAGUGAGGGACGAAAGCUGGGGGAGCAAACCGGAUUAGAUACCCGGGUAGUCCCAGCCGUAAACGAUGCSCKUUUGGUUUUCGAUGACCACGAGUCAUCGAGGUGCCGAAGGGAAACCGUGAAACGCGCCGCYUKGGAA
rnacentral:rRNA from 1 species